UUUUUGAAAUUUUCUUGGAAAAAUUAUUUUGACUAAUUAUUUUAUCACGAAUACUUUAAUUUUAUUUUAAUAGAUCGUAUUAUUAUCCUUUAUUUUAUUGAAAUUUCAAGUUUCUCACUUCUACUUUAUUCAUUCAAUCCAUUUGUAUUCUAAGUCAAAUCAUUCUUGUAGCUUUUUUCCUUAUCAUUCGCACCCUCCUCACUCCUCCAGUUCGUUGACAAAUAGAUAAGCUUUCAUUUCACGUGCAUAAAAUUUCUCAAUUCAAAGUAGAAAGACUACCUACAGCAGAAACUUUGAUCAUUGAUCAUGUUCAUGUGUCAUUCUAAUGUACCUGAUUUCAAUCCAGCGACUUCUGCGGUACAACAAAUGGACAUCUAUUCAAAAAAAUACGAGGACUUGUCAUCACUGGCGAAUAAAUUAUUCGAAGAUCUAAAAGCUUGUGCCGUGCGAUAUAAACUUGACGAUGAUUUAAAAAUUUAUCGUUUUAUGAUUUUGAAUAUACUGAAAGAGUUCUACAAUAUUGAUUGGAACUUCAACGAUAUUACUUUUACUGAACGACAAUACACUUUUACUUAUGAAACGAUUGAAUUCUGGUUGCGUUUUGAAGAUGACUUCAAAAUGUGUACGUUGUCGGCUGUUCGUCACUCAAAAGGUGCUGUAAUAGGAUGUCGUCAAUUUGACGUGGUGAUCAAUGUUGGUGAUGAUGAGCAAAUAACGCUCUUCCAGCCGUCUCCCAGAACACUUCCCGAGUGUAGAGCGCUUUUGAUUGAAAUUUUGAGUAAAUUCCACAACGAACUAUUAGAUGAGAUUAUUUGCAAUGGAUUGUUCAAUCCUACUACUAAUCCAUCGUGAAGAUUGAAGAUCCAUGAGUUCAACCGGGUAUCAAGAAAAUGCUAACAUUUUCUACCUACCUCGCAUACCUAUUAUUGGAAGUCUAUGAAGAUUCAAUUUGGUAGCCUACAACACUGAAGUACUCAUCAAGGAUAUAAAACGAUUAGAAACUUAGUACAGAAACGUUUGUAUUUUAAUAAAAAUUGAUUAAUUAAUGA